UGGGUAACCUGCCUCAAAGAGGGGAAUAGCCUCCCGAAAGGGAGAUUAAUACCGCAUAAUAUGUUUAAGUCGCAUGACUUUAACAUCAAAGGAUUUUCUUUUAGAAAUUCCACUUUGAGAUGGACCCGCGGCGCAUUAGCUAGUUGGUGAGGUAACGGCUCACCAAGGCGACGACGGGUAGCUGGUCUGAGAGGAUGGCCAGCCACAUUGGGACUGAGACACGGUCCAGACUCCGUAGGGAGG
rnacentral:rRNA from 1 species